rnacentral:lncRNA from 1 species
AACCAAUUUAUGGUGCCAACAAGAGCUCCAUUAAAGGAGUUCAACCACAAUUCUCAAAAGUUUCACACUCUUGAUCAAGACAGUGUGAAGCAAAACCAAUUUAUGGUGCCAACAAGAGCUCCAUCAAUGAAGGGCAACCACAAUUCUCAAAAGCUUCACACACUAUUGAUCAAAACAGUGUGAAGCAAAACCAAUUUAUGGUGCCAACAAAAGCUUCAUCAAAGGAGUUCAACCACAAUUCUCAAAAGCUUCACACAUUCUUGAUCAAGACAGUGUGAAGCAAAACCAAUUUAUGGUGCCAACAAAAGCUUCAUCAAUGGAGGGCAACUACAAUUCUCAAACAUUCGAAGCAAAUUCAAGACUGUUCGAAGCAAAUUCAAUUUAUAUGGUUUAUCCAAACCUUCGACUACUACAAGGUGGCUUGCAUCAUAAUCUCUUGCUCAACAGUAUGGAAGCAAAAUUUGUAUAUGUUGUAUCUCCCACAUUUUCAAAUUUCUUGUUUCCCAAAAAAAAAAGGAAAUUCAACAAAGCUUCAUCAAUGGAGGACAACUA